rnacentral:lncRNA from 1 species
CUGACUUCCCUCCAGCUUGAAGGAGCAAGCCAUGCAGAUCCAGCCACAAUGUGUUCUCCUGGUGGGCACACUCCAGGCCUUGUUGCCCCUGGUCAGGUGGGAUCAAUCAUGUGGCUUUUCAUGGAGGUGCAGUGAGGACUUGUAUCAAGGCCUGGAUAGGGACAUGCAUCUCCCCUCCUUGCUGAGUGUGAUCUCACUGCCAACUGGUGUCUGGGGCCAUGUUGGAAUCCAUGUUUGGGGAGGCUCAGCCUGGCUGAAGCUAACAGGAUUGGGGCCCUGGUUACUAUGGGAUAUCAGCGCCCCCUCAAACCAUGGUCCAACUGAAGGCAGGAAAUUUUGCUUAAAACUAGAGGAAAAUGAGCUCAGUCUCUUUAGGAAACUGAGUUAAUAUAUUCUGAGUGUCUUUCUGGCAUUUUAACCUUUCAAUGUUGCCUUUAGGAAUUCAGAAAGCAAAUGAUCUUUAAAAUAUGUGAGAGGGUAUAUAAAUGUGUGUGUGUGUGUGUGUGUGUGUGUGUUCAUUUGUUUAUUGAUGUUGGACCUAGUUACCAAGUCACCAACAUCAGUUUGGUGUUGCAAAAUUGAGACACUUUUAAGUUACAGCCCAAGGACACCUUCCUGAGAAGGUGGCUGAGGACCUCUGGAGUGUGCAGAAAGAGCCAAGCCAUGGAGCUAGAGGUACUGGCUUCAUCCCUCACCAACUCUGUCACUUAACUUCUUUGAGUCUUUGGGUUCUCAUCUGGAAAACGUGGGGCAGCAAUAGAAGCU